AUUGAACGCUGGCGGCAUGCCUUACACAUGCAAGUCGAACGGCAGCACGGACUUCGGUCUGGUGGCGAGUGGCGAACGGGUGAGUAAUGCAUCGGAACGUACCCGGUAGUGGGGGAUAACUACCCGAAAGGGUGGCUAAUACCGCAUAUACUGUGCGCAGGAAAGCAGGGGACCUUCGGGCCUUGUGCUACCGGAGCGGCCGAUGUCAGAUUAGGUAGUUGGUGGGGUAACGGCCUACCAAGCCUGCGAUCUGUAGCGGGUCUGAGAGGAUGAUCCGCCACACUGGGACUGAGACACGGCCCAGACUCCUACGGGAGGCAGCAGUGGGGAAUUUUGGACAAUGGGCGCAAGCCUGAUCCAGCCAUGCCGCGUGAGUGAAGAAGGCCUUCGGGUUGUAAAGCUCUUUCGGCCGGGAAGAAAUCGUAUCAGCUAAUACCUGGUGCGGAUGACGGUACCGGCAUAAGAAGCACCGGCUAACUACGUGCCAGCCGCCGCAGUAAGAC
rnacentral:rRNA from 1 species